rnacentral:misc_RNA from 1 species
AAUGGCAGGGAACGUAUAUAGCUUCGGGGUUGUUCUACUGGAACUGCUGACAGGAAAGCCAGCAGUUAGCGAGGGAAGUGAAUUAGCCAAGUGGGUCUUAAAUAGCUCAAAGCAGCAGAAUAGGUGGGAUCACAUCCUCGACUUUAACGUCAGUAAAACAUCACUAGCUGUCAGAGGCCAAAUGCUUGCAAUGCUCAAGAUUGCUCUCAGUUGUGUCAGUGUUUCACCAGAAGCAAGGCCAAAGAUGAAGAGUGUGUUACGGAUGAUCCUCAAUGCACGGUGAAGCCUAGCCUCAUGAAGCAUAUCUGUCUAUUAGUAUGCAUAAGAUGAUCAUCU